rnacentral:rRNA from 1 species
AUUGAACGCUGGCGGCAUGCUUUACACAUGCAAGUCGAACGGCAGCGCGGGCUUCGUCCUGGCCGCGCGUGGCGAACGGGUGGGUAAUGCAUCCGAACGUGCCCUGUAGUGGGGGCUAGCCCGGCUAAAGCCGGCUUAAUACCGCAUACGACAUGAUGUUGAAAGCGGUGGACCGAAAGGCCUCGCGCUAUUUGCUCUGCCGAUGUCGGAUUAGCUAGUUGGUGGGGUAAAGGCUUACCAAGGCGACGAUCCGUAGCUGGUCUGAGAGGCCGACCUGCCACACUGGGACUGAGACACGGCCCAGACUCCUACGGGAGGCAGCAGUGGGGAAUUUUGGACAAUGGGGGCAAGCCUGAUGGAGCAAUGCCGCGUGCGGGAAGAAGGUCUUCGGGUUGUAAAACGCUUUUGUUAGGGAAGAAAAAAUGUGGGAGAAUACACGGGGGGGAUGACGGUACCGGAAGAGUAAGCAACGGCUAACUACGUG